rnacentral:rRNA from 1 species
UGGGGAAUAUUGCACAAUGGGCGCAAGCCUGAUGCAGCCAUGCCGCGUGUAUGAAGAAGGCCUUCGGGUUGUAAAGUACUUUCAGUCGGGAGGAAGGUGGUAAGGUUAAUAACCUUAUCAAUUGACGUUACCGACAGAAGAAGCACCGGCUAACUCCGUGCCAGCAGCCGCGGUAAUACGGAGGGUGCAAGCGUUAAUCGGAAUUACUGGGCGUAAAGCGCACGCAGGCGGUUGAUUGAGUCAGAUGUGAAAUCCCCGGGCUUAACCCGGGAAUUGCAUCUGAUACUGGUCAGCUAGAGUCUUGUAGAGGGGGGUAGAAUUCCAUGUGUAGCGGUGACAUGCGUAGAGAUGUGGAGGACUACCGGUGGCGAAGGCGGCCCCCUGGACAAAGACUGACGCUCAGGUGCGAAAGCGUGGGGAGCAAACAGG